rnacentral:rRNA from 1 species
AACGUAGGUUCCGAGCGUUAUCCGGAUUUACUGGGCGUAAAGCGCGUUCAGGCGGUUUGGCAAGUCGGGCAUGAAAUCUCUCGGCUCAACCGGGAGAGGUUGUCCGAUACUGUUAGACUGGAGGGCAGUAGAGGGUGGUGGAAUUCCGGGUGUAGUGGUGAAAUGCGUAGAGAUCUGGAGGAACACCAGUGGCGAAAGCGGCCACCUGGACUGCACCUGACGCUGAAACGCGGAAGCUAGGGGAGCGAACGGG